GUCCCUGCAUUCCUGGUUGUUUUUGCCAUCCUCUGGUUUGUGCUCAGACCAAGGCGGGCGAAGCCCAAGAUCAAUUAGUUACAAGCUUGGAGGCAAAAUGUACUUGACAGAGCAGCUGCAUUCGGACAUUGGACGUAGACGGUUUUCUUCGAUAGUCUAUGUUAUCAUGCUAAUUGUUUGGUUAAAUUUGUAAGGAUGAACUCUGGC
rnacentral:misc_RNA from 1 species